UACGUAGGGGGCUAGCGUUGUCCGGAUUUAUUGGGCGUAAAGAGCGUGUAGGCGGCCAGGUAGGUCGGCCGUGAAAACCUGCAGCUCAACUGUGGGCUUGCGGUCGAUACGGGCAUCACUGGAGUUCGGCAGGGGAGACUGGAAUUCCUGGUGUAGCGGUGAAAUGCGCAGAUAUCAGGAGGAACACCGGUGGCGAAGGCGGGUCUCUGGGCCGAUACUGACGCUGAGGAGCGAAAGCGUGGGGAGCGAACAGG
rnacentral:rRNA from 1 species